UAAAUAUACUGUUUAAUUUUUUUAGAACAUAAAUGUGGAUGCAAGUACAAACACUAUUCCAUCAGGAAUUCCUCGAGAGCCAUUGUUGCCAGCAUCUCCUGUUCUGUCUGGGACAUUUGAACGGUCUCCUUCCCCAUCCCAAUCUUCUGAUGACUCCAAGGUUGUCGAUAAGCAGCAGAGAGAGACACACAGUAUGGAAAGACUUUCUUCCACGCUCACUACUGCAUGUAAAUCGGUGCAAGUCAAUGGCGCUGCCAUAGAACUACGAAAACCUAGUUAUGCAGAGAUUUGUCAGAGAACAACUAAAGAUCCUCCUACAUCACAGCCCCAGAAAGAACAGAAGCCAAACACUGUAGUUUGUGGGAAAGAUGAAAGAAAGCCUACAGAAACAAUAGAGAAAAACAGAGAACCCCCUCCCACAAAGUCAAAUCCAGGACAGCCCAAAGACCAGCGGAGACAGUCAGGGCGCAGAUCGCCCCCUCCAGCCAUCGGGAAACGUUUAAAUAAAGAACAGAACACCCCCCCAAAAUCUCCUCAGUGAAACUAAUGCUUGGGAGGGGGUUGAAGAGAGUUCUACUUCCCACUAAUUAAAACCCAUGUUCCCACUCAAGUACAGAGAAUGAGUUGCUGGUUAGGGAGCUUGCAGUGCUAGUAGGCAUAUAAGAUGCCUGCAAGUGUUUUCUUUUAUGAAAUAUUUUUCCCCUCUUGAGCAAGCAGUCUAUUUUUCCAGGAUUUAAUUGAUCAAACCUUAUAUUCAGGUUGGUGCUUAACUGGAGGUGAUGCUGAGUCUGAUUAUUUUCAAGUUGGAAAAUGUUAUCUUAAAAUCAAUUUUUUUAUCAAGCCUCACGUGGCUCUGUGAAUACUAGCUCAAUAGUGAGUGUUCCUGAACUAUUAAGCAGAACUGUGCUGCUGCAAUUUUUAAUAAACUGGUCUGCAAGUAACUAUAUCUCUAAACCUUCAGAGUGGCAGUUAGUAUAGAGCAUGAAGAAAGUAUAUUGUACAAAACUGUAUGAAUAUGACCUUGAGGAUUUUUUUUAUUGGGCUGCUGUUCUGAGUAUCAGCUAACAAACUUGCACUUUUAGGUUAAACUAAUACAGUUGAUAAUAACAUUUUUUAAAACUAAUCUUUUUUGAUGUCUUGUGCAAAAAAGUCCUCCAGAGAGCACCAUAGAGGUUUUCAAAAAUAUUUGUGUUCUGAUGUACUGCAAGCAAGUAAUCAGCUUCUCAGUCCAGAAUAAAAUGAAUACUAUGAUUUCCAAAUACAAAGCACAUUGUGAAUAAGAAAAAAAUUGAGGUCUGUGAGCUUAUAUGGAGGUGAAGCCUGCUAAUGGAUGUUAUCACAAGAAAGCACAAUAGUGUUCUUGUGGUGUUCCCCCUCACAGGAUGGAGUUAACUAGGGUCAUCACUGUACUUUUUAGUUAUCCCUGUGCUCAGUGUAGACUUUUUUAACUUAUCCCCAAGUGCUCUUUGAAAGAGUUCAUAUCUUAGUCAGCCUAGUGUUGACGUCUUCCUGUAACCGCAAGCAUUGGCAUGUGGAUUUAAAUUUUCCAGUUCUUGAAAGAAUGGCAUUUGUGUUUUGUGGUGGAGGAAGAGAUCCCUGCUAUUUACCUCUGGGAUGAGGUUUCUCACACUUAUAUUUACUUUAGAAGUGAUGCGCUUUCUGAAGGACAAAGAUGCACUAAAUUAGCAAGCUUCUAAUAAAGUUGAAUAUAAACUAUUUUUGUUUUAAAAUGCCUAAAGUUUUUCUUUACGUGUUUAAAUAGCAGGCAGUUCAGAUAAUCCUCUUUCCUGAUGAACAUAACAGUACAGUUUAUUCCACAAAAAUGUUUGUUUAAACAACUGAUUUUUUUAAAGAAUUAUUUCCAUCCGAUAUUUAAAGACUUGAAUUUUAUUUAAACUUGAAAAUGACUUUGCCUUAACUUUUGUAUAAGACAGCUUACAGUUAAUGAAGUCUGACCCCCUUAAGGGUUAGCAUGAGUUAAUUACAGAAUUACUCAGUUACAGUAUGUAUCUAUUGUCACUGGUCUUACUGGGUAAACAUACUGUAGUACAGGAACUAGCAGCAGUUUUUGUAAUAUACCUUAAAGAUCUUAAACAGUUGAUCUUUUUCAGAUUGUUGAAAAAUCUGUAAAUGCAAAUAGUCAAUACUGUAUUAAAUAUGUGCACUUGGAAGUGUGUGCUUUGCUUGUACAGUUGUAAAUAAUCAGAACAUAUAAAAAGGUACCCUAAAGAAAAAAAUCUGAUAAAAAUUAUUGAUAUAUUAUAAAUGUUGCUGUUGAGCUGGAUGUAGAUAAACUAAAUGUUGUGGUUUGAAUAUUACUUUAAUUUGUUGUUUUUUUGUUUCUUUUAUUUUAUUCUGGUGUGCUGAACUGACUCUGCCUCUUCACUGCAAAAGGGAAAUGGAAAGAAAGUUUUAUUUCAAAGCCCUCAAAUGUUUUCAUAAGUCUCUCCUGAAAGUGUGCUUUUUAAUCAAUACCUGUUCCAUAACAGCACGUAAAGAGUAAACUCAAAAAGUCGAGCAGUUCAACUGAAAUUUUAAAAACACCAGUAACAAUUUAAUGCAUUGGGAUCCUGGAUCAGAUUGCCAAGAAAAAUACCCUGAAGCUUAUCUGGCCACCUCUUCCAAGGAGAGUAUUGAUGCUUCUGUAGAUGGAUAAUGAACUUGAAUAUGGCUGUAAAAAAAGCCAUUAAUUUGCUAGCAAUUUUCAUACUGCAGAUAUCUGAUAGUAAUGAAGUGACCUUUUAAAUUCACUGCAGAAUUGGUUAAAAUGGACAAGAUAAGAUUUGUUUGUUCUUUGGCUAAAAAGCACACUUUGGAUUUUGUUGGAGGAGAUAGGACUCUGACAGCAGUGAACACCAAAAUUUAGAAACCUGUUGUGUCAUUGGAUUUUAAUAUCCUUUUCCCAGUGGGCAGUGAAAAUGGCAGCUAGACUUGUAUAUGGUUUAGGCCAGCUGUGUGAUUUGUUGUUUGCCUGCUGAAAGAGUAAACGUGGACAGCUGCAAACAAUAAAAAAUGGUCACUUACAGCAACAGUGUACAGCUAAUCAUAAUAGCCAACUGGGACAUACGGUAAUAUAUUGAGACCAGCGGAUUGUGUUGUGCUGUUCUAAUGUAUUCUGCUGCCAUUUGUACUAGGUCAAUACACUGUAAUUACUGCUUACCCAGCAACAGUCUGUUGCAACAAGAGUUUAAACCUUGCUCUGAUGUGGUUUUAUAGCUUUUUUUAAAAAAUGCAAGUGAUCUGCCAAGUAGCUGUAUAUAGUAUUAAAAAAACCUUUACCUUUGCUGCAUUUACUUUGAGAUUUUUCCACGCAGUGACAAAAUGGAUUUUCAGAGUAGACAGUUGGGAUGUUGCAUGCAGACUGUUGCUAAGGUUCAUAUAGCUAUUAAUAUGUGGCUUCUAAAAAGUUAAAAGGAAAAAAAAUCCUUCCAGAAGCAGGUUCAGAGAUACAGUAACUAAAAUUGACAUUUUAACUUGUAAGAUUGUGUGCAUUUCAUUUGAAAAAUAUAAAACAAGUUAAUACAGAAUCUGAGACUCUUGGUCCAGGAAUGCAUUUGAAACAAAAAUUGCUUUUGAGACUUAAUGUGAAUUUCAUUGCAGAUCAAUCCCCACCGUGACAUCAUAAUUUGCCACUUAGAAAUCAGUGGGAAGUGGCGAACUUUUUUGUUGCUGCAUUGUUGUCUGAAGAUUGAGCAGUUAGUAUGGGAAAAACCCUUGUUUGUGGGUGUGAUGCAGUGUAUCACAAACAGUUGACUGUAAUGGUGCAUACCGAUCUCUAUCUCCUUCAGCUAGUGACAGGGAUUUUUAUGUGCUUUGUAACCUAUUACACUAAUAGCAGCAGACAAUCGAAGACUUUCAAGGAGCGCUAACAGCUGCCAAUUCAUGACAUAGAAGUGUAAUAUGGAAGCUUUUUUGAGGGUUUUUGUUUUUGUUCUACUUCUUCCAUUAAGACUGGAAUCAAGCUUACAUGUAAACUAUUGGUAAUUUAAGUUUCCUUUUGUGUCAUAAAAUGUAAAACUUGUCUAAUUUGAAAAAUAUGUAGGUUAUGAAAAAAUAAAGAUUUAGGCA